GUUCCCUUGACCACUUCAUUG
rnacentral:miRNA from 1 species